CCUACGGGUGGCUGCAGUCGAGAAUCAUUCACAAUGGGGGAAACCCUGAUGGUGCGACGCCGCGUGGGGGAAUGAAGGUCUUCGGAUUUUAAACCCCUGUCAUGUGGGAGCUAAUUAAAAAGAUAGUACCACAAGAGGAAGAGACGGCUAACCCUGCGCCAGCAGCCGCGGUAAUACAGAGGUCUCAAGCGUGGUUCGGAAUCACUGGGCGUAAAGCGUGCGUAGGCUGUAUCGUAAGUCGUGUGUGAAAGGCGCGGGCUCAACCCGCGGACGGCACAUGAUACUGCGAGACUAGAGUAAGGGAGGGGUAACAGGAAUUCUCGGUGUAGCAGUGAAAUGCGUAGAUAUCGAGAGGAACACUCGUGGCGAAGGCGGGUUCCUGGACAUUAACUGACGCUGAGGCACGAAGGCCAGGGGAGCGAAAGGGAUUAGAUACCCGUGUAGUC
rnacentral:rRNA from 1 species